rnacentral:rRNA from 1 species
GGUUAAGUGAAUAAGGGCGCACGGUGGAUGCCUUGGCACUAGGAGCCGAUGAAGGACGGGACUAACACCGAUAUGCUUCGGGGAGCUGUAAGUAAGCUUUGAUCCGGAGAUUUCCGAAUGGGGAAACCCAAUUGCUUUGAUAGGCAAUUACUCAACUACGAAUACAUAGUAGUUUGAGAGGAAGACGCAGGGAACUGAAACAUCUCAUUACCUGUAGGAAGAGAAAGAAAAUUCGAUUUCCUGAGUAGCGGCGAGCGAAACGGAAAGAGCCCAAACCAAAGAGCUUGCUCUUUGGGGUUGUAGGACAGACGAUAUGUAGUUAAAGAUUUAGUCGAAUGGCAUGGGAAGGCCAAUCACAGAGGGUGACAAUCCCGUAGACGAAAGAUCAAUAACGCUAGUCUGUAUCCUGAGUACGGCGGAACACGUGUAAUUCCGUCGGAAUCCGGGAGGACCAUCUCCCAAGGCUAAAUACUCCCUAGUGACCGAUAGUGAACCAGUACCGUGAGGGAAAGGUGAAAAGCACCCCGGAAGGGGAGUGAAAUAGUACCUGAAACCGUGCGCUUACAAGCAGUCAGAGCCCGUUAAUGGGUGAUGGCGUACUUUUUG